UCUUGAUUGACGGAUCAAUUUCAUCACGGAUGGUGACUGGCAGUCAUUGAUAUCAUUACACCCAGCAGAUAAUUCACAGACGCCAUACUGUUCUUACAAUCUACAGUCAACCACGGACAAACCUGCAAGAUGAAUAAAGUAUUAUUUUGUCUGCUACUGUCUACCGCUGUUUUAAUCACUGAAUGUCAAGUCAUUCGUAAUGGCGGACGUCAGAGACAGCAUCUAUUUGGACGUCAUGGUGUACAACCUGGAAUGAAUGGACUAGUAUUUGGUAAGAGAAACAGCCAAGAGUUGAGAGCUGAUUGUUUGGAAGCCUUGGCUGUAUGCCAUAAGAUACUCUCAACUGAUGACGCGAAACUGGAGGAUUGAAAGAUAUGGACGGAUAAAGAACAAAAAUAGGAUGACACAAAAUGGAUUACAAACAAAUAAUAAAAAAAACUGUUUUAUUUCAUAAAACAUACGAUUUAUUUUUAACAAUAAACUUUUAAAAUUAGUCACCGAAAUAGAGAAAAUGCAGCCCAAAAUUUUACGCCUGAAUUUUUUAGAUUUUUUGGUGUGUAUUUUGUAAAGUUUUUGUUCGCCUAAA